rnacentral:rRNA from 1 species
GAUGAACGCUGGUGGCAUGCCUAACACAUGCAAGUCGAGCGAACACACAAGGAGCUUGCUCCCCUGACGUUAGCGGCGGACGGGCGAGUAACACGUGGAUCACCAACCUAUUUGACUGGGAUAACUUCGGGAAAACGGAGACAAUACCAGAUAAUACAUUCAACCGCAUGGUUCAAUAGUGAUAGACAGCUUUGCCGUUACUUAUAGACGGAUCCGUGUCGCAUUAGCUAGUUGGUAAGGUAACGGCUUAGCAAGGCAACGAUGCGUAGCUGACCUGAGAGGAUGAUCAGCCACACUGGAACUGAGACACGGUCCAGACUCCUACGGGAGGCAGCAGUGGGGAAUAUUCGGCAAUGGGCGAAAGCCUGACGCAGCAACACCGCGUGAGUGAUGAAGGUCUUCGGAUCGUAAAACUCUGUUGUUAGGGAAGAACAAAUGUGUAAGUAUCUAUGCACGUCUUGACGGUACCUAAACAAAAAGCCACGGCUAACUACGUG